rnacentral:rRNA from 1 species
AUUGGAUGAGCCCGCGGCCUAUCAGCUUGUUGGUGAGGUAAAAGCUCACCAAGGCUACGACGGGUAGCUGGUCUGAGAGGGUGUACGGCCACACUGGAACUUAGACACGGUCCAGACUCCUACGGGAGGCAGCAGUGGGGAAUAUUGCGCUAAUGCGCGAAAGCGUGACGCAGCGACGCCGCGUGGGGGAUGAAGGCCCUCGGGUUGUAAACCCCUUUCGGCAGGGACGAAGCGAGAGUGACGGUACCUGCAGAAGAAGUCCCGGCUAACUACGUGCCAGCAGCCGCGGCCGAAU